rnacentral:tRNA from 1 species
GGGAGAGCUUACAGGCCUGCUCGAGGAAACGAGAGGAGCAGCUGGCUUUUAACCAGUGGGUCGCAGGUUCGAGUCCUGCUCGGCUCACCA